ensembl:lncRNA
UCAGAACAGCAUCAUGAAAAAAACUGUUUUUUUCCCCGGAAGAGUCAAGGUGUCUUUCAGGCAAGGCCCAUCAGGCCAUUUACGCAGGGACCCAUCAGAAGAGGCCAAAAGAAUGAAAGACAACCCUUCAUUGCAGGCACAAUCAGCACCUACAGCUCCUGCAUCAAUGCCGUCUGCACCUGUUCCUAGCUACUUGCAAGUUAUUAGCCACUGGAACUGCUCUCUUCAUCAAAGAAUUUGGAUGAAGACAGAGAUGGAGUCCAUGGGGCUCUGGCCAGGAUCACACCCAGUAAGACACCUCAUGAAUAUGGUCUCCUUGUGGCGCUAUCCACCUCAGCCUGAGCUUUUAGACACAAACACUGGCCUUCCGUCACCCAAAUAUUUCCAGCUCCAUCCCUUUUUCAUUUGGAAACCUGAGCACAGUAUAAUGGAAAGGCUUAGGAACAAUUACAUCCUGCCUUGUCUUUACGGCUGUCAAAAUCCUAAUGUUGUGUCCUCUGGUGUGGGAAGACCCCCGAGUGAUCCUUGGUACUUCUGGGCAAUAUUACAUCCUUGCUUCACAUCUGUGUUGUAAGGCAUGCAAAAGAUACUGGUUCACUGAUAAACCUCAGUGGCUGGACAUGCUACCACAGCGAUUCAGAAACAUCUUGCCAGCCUUCCUCACCGAUAAGAAGGCAAUCUGUAAAACGGUGAUGGAUGAACUGAGGCGCUCUGGAAAAUCCCCUAAUGACAUGGCCAACCAGCUCUCUGGGGUGCUUCACCUUAAAUAUGAAUGAGCCCAUCUGGCCUACCUUCUCAGUGUGCAGAACGUCAGGGAUGCUGAAGCAGGGCUGUAUGGUCAGAAAACCAUCACACACAGAAAAGUGACCCUCUCAUCUGGCACAAUGUCAUCCUAUGCUGUGAUGAACGAGAACUGGAUGAUUCUGUCCUGGGUGAUGCUGUAGAGUGAAAGUGAGCAGUCCCUGGAGUCAAUGUACUGUGGGCUGGCCAAUCGCUACAGUGCUGCUGGUAUUCCCAAGGCCAAGUACCAGUGGGUGGACAGGGACUGCUGUGCCACUUUCAGAGUGAUGGACCCAGGACCUUAUGAGCACCAGCGGUGGGAAGCCUGGAUGACCUCUGAAGCUAUUGUGGCAGAGGUUACAUCAGGAAACCUCAUGAAUUUACAUGCCGCUUGCCGGAAGUUCAACGAGGACAUGGUUGUUAAACUGGUCUUGUUUCACUGUAUGCGGCGGUUCACCAGGGAGUGUGUUUCGGAGCACCAUCCUCUGUAUAGCUCCUUCUGCCAGUUCCUCUCUUCUGCCUUCUCUGUAGUUGAUCAGAGUGACCUGGAGAAACUGAAGAACGCAUACAGAUUCUGUGGUAUCGAGCCUGCUAAUCCCACCAAGCAGCACAUCAGAGAGCACUGCAGGACAAAAGUGCCACAUCCCAGAGAGCUGGUCCAAAGAGUGGAAGAAGUGCUUCACCAUUUCUAUCUGGCAAAGGAUCCCAACAACAUCUUCCUUUUUAAACCUUCAAUGUUAAAAGUGUGGUGGAUUCAGUGUAUCCACAUCCUUAGAGGCUGC